GCCAGCGGUGAUAGCACGUUGAAUGCGCAAGUUCCCCAGGGAUCACUGAAGUUAAGCAACGUUGCGCGUGGUUGGUACCCGGCUGGGUGACCGUCUGGACAAUCACGAGCUUUUUCCC
rnacentral:rRNA from 1 species